UAAUAAUAAUAAUAAUAAUAAUAAUAAUAAAACUCAAGGGUAUACUUGCAAUGAUUUUUGUAAUCUUGAGUGAAAUUUUCUAAAAAAAAAUGACAAAACUCUAUAUCUAGUUGGAUAAAACUUGCUUGCAAUAUGUUACAUAUAUAUUUAAUUAAUAUCUUCUUAGAAGACUUUUUUACAAAAAAAAAAAUGGAAAAAGAAAAUUAAUAUAAAUUAAAUUAAACUAAAGGUAGCUAUAGAUUUGGUAGACAUUAAAUUGUGAGGAGGAUAGUAAAGAAUUGCUAUGAACUCUUUCUAACCUCGAGUUAUUCUUGGAUAUAGUUUUUUGAAUAUAUAAUUCUUGGAAAUAGUUAACAUCAAAGAAAAAAGGAAAAUAAAACAACUGCAAUUAAUUUCUCUAUAGACAAAAGUGAGACAUUCCCAACUGGCAGAUAACACCCCAAAGGGAACUGAUUAAGGCUUAUUUUGGCAUCAAUUAGAAGGAGAUUUUAUAAUGCACCUCAAGCAAAGACAGCAUGAGACAUUGAUGUUGACACUCAUGAUAAAUCAAAUUGGUCAGGUAAAAUUACUACUAUACUAUUGUCAGAACUGCACCACAUGUCUUGGUUUAUGGACAAAAAUUAGUACUUAUUAUCAUCUAUAUAAUUGGACUAGUUGCUAUAAAGCUGGUGUGCAAAAAAAAUAAAAUAAAAAAAAGUUAGAUUGAAUUGAAUCACUCUAAUAAGUUGACAUGAAGAUGGCUAUGGUUCAAUACAAGUGCCUUCUUAUUGCAACUCUCAUCUUGUUUUGCUCAUUCUCUAUAACAGCUAAAGCUAGGAUUUUGAAAGAAGGUGAACAUGUAGCCAAGAAGAGUAAUGAUAAUGAGUUGAAACCAAACCAAGAUAGGGAGCUUUUUGACAACAAUGAAUUAGUGGCUAUGGAUUACUCUCCGGCCGGUAAAACACCGCCAAUACAUAACUAAAAAUAUCCACAACAUUGUUGAGAAAACAAAAAUGUACGCUGCAAUGUUUUUUUUUUUUUUUUAUAUGUAUAUUUAUAUAUUUUCAACUUCUUCAUAGGUAGAUACAUGGUUUUUGUCCAAGGAAUUAGUAUAGAUACAGGAUUUGAAAAGAGAAAGUGGGUUACUGUUAAGAUAUGUAAAUAUUAUGGAUCUUUUGUUGGUAAACUUUUCAAGGAAAAGGUCAACUGUAAUUAUAUGAAGUAUAGGGGAUUAAUGUAAAAACGUUUCUCUUUAGUCUCCCCAAGUUUUGAACUAAUUAAUUAAUUUUAUUUUAUUUUUGAUUGACUAAUCCAAACUAUAGUGUCAAAUCACUAGUUAUGCUGGUUUUGGUCCAAAAA